rnacentral:rRNA from 1 species
AUUGAACGCUGGCGGCAGGCCUAACACAUGCAAGUCGAACGAGUGGCGGACGGGUGAGUAAUGUAUGGGAAACUGGCCGAUGGAUGGGGAUAACUACUGGAAACGGUAGCAAAUACCGCAUACCAUCGGAUGUGCCCUGAUGGGAUUAGCUAGUAGGUGGGGUAACGGCUCACCUAGGCGACGAUCCCUACCUGGUCUGAGAGGAUGACCAGCCACACUGGAACUGAGACACGGUACAGACUCCUACGGGAGGCAGCAGUGGGGAAUAUUGCGCAAUGGGCGAAAGCCUGAUGCAGCCAUGCCGCGUGUAUGAAGAAGGUCUUCGGGUUGUAAAGUACUUUCAGCGGGGAGGCGGUACCCGAAGAAGAAGCACCGGCUAACUCCGUGCCAGCAGCCGCGGUAAUAC